GAUGAACGCUGGCGGCGUGCCUAAUACAUGCAAGUCGAGCGAACAGACGAGGAGCUUGCUCCUCUGACGUUAGCGGCGGACGGGUGAGUAACACGUGGAUAACCUACCUAUAAGACUGGGAUAACUUCGGGAAACCGGAGCUAAUACCGGAUAACAUGUUGAACCGCAUGGUUCAACAGUGAAAGACGGUCUUGCUGUCACUUAUAGAUGGAUCCGCGCCGCAUUAGCUAGUUGGUAAGGUAACGGCUUACCAAGGCAACGAUGCGUAGCCGACCUGAGAGGGUGAUCGGCCACACUGGAACUGAGACACGGUCCAGACUCCUACGGGAGGCAGCAGUAGGGAAUCUUCCGCAAUGGGCGAAAGCCUGACGGAGCAACGCCGCGUGAGUGAUGAAGGUCUUCGGAUCGUAAAACUCUGUUAUUAGGGAAGAACAAAUGUGUAAGUAACUAUGCACGUCCUGACGGUACCUAAUCAGAAAGCCACGGCUAACUACGUG
rnacentral:rRNA from 1 species